CAACUAUUCAUGGUGGAUCACUUGGCUCUUGCAUCGAUGAAGAACGCAGCGAAUUGCGAAAAUUGACGUGACUCGCCUCAUCGUGAAUCAUUGAGUUUUUGAACGCACAUUGCACCAGGCACUUGUGCCUGGUAUACCUGUUUGAGCAUCAGUA
rnacentral:rRNA from 1 species